CGGGAGAUGGCAGAGUCUGGUUUAAUGCACCGGUCUUGAAAACCGGCGAGGGUAAUACCUCCAGGAGUUCGAAUCUCCUUCUCCCGGCCA
rnacentral:tRNA from 1 species